CACGUAGGGGGCAAGCGUUGUCCGGAUUUAUUGGGCGUAAAGAGCUCGUAGGCUGUUCGGUAAGUCGGGUGUGAAACCCCCAGGCUCAACCUGGGGACGCCACCUGAUACUGCUGUGACUCGAGUCCGGUAGGGGAGCGUGGGAAUUCCUGGUGUAGCGGUGAAAUGACGCAGAUAUCAGGAGGAACACCAGCGGCGAAGGCGGCGCUCUGGGCCGGUACUGACGCUGAGGAGCGAAAGCGUGGGUAGCAAACAGG
rnacentral:rRNA from 1 species